rnacentral:rRNA from 1 species
AUGGAUGUUUUCCGACUGGAGUCUCGCGUUGCAGCUGUCGUGGACUAUCUCGCAAGGCUGAAGGCCGCCACAUCUCGCAUCGACUCGACGCUCUGGCCUGAGGAGACACUUCAGAAUGACCUUGAGUCAUUAAUGGCCCGCUUGAACACGAUCCCUGGUCGAGUGCAGGAAUGGAAGAAGUCCUCGGCUCGGUGUGGUGCAGAUGUCGCUCUGUGUCUGGCCCGAGUCCACUGCAAAGAUGCACGAGAGGAGAAGCUGGCGGCUCUUCGGGUGGCCAAUACCAAGAAGCACGACUUCAGGUCUUUUAUGGAGACUUUCCUUGCAGCUGCCACUCGGAUCGCCGACGGGAUUGACCUUGAUGAAUUUGUUGCACCUUCCAGCCCUCCACAGGAGGGGUAA